rnacentral:rRNA from 1 species
UAUCCUAACCGUGCGAAGGUAGCGUAAUCACUUGUUCUUUAAAUGGGGACUAGUAUGAAUGGCAUCACGAGGGUUAUACUGUCUCCCUUUUCUAAUCUGUGAAACUAAUCUCCCCGUGAAGAAGCGGGGAUAAAAAUAUAAGACGAGAAGACCCUAUGGAGCUUUAAAUUUCAAUUCAAAGCAUAAUGAAAUAGAAUUUUAGGUUGGGGUGACCGCGGAGCACAAAACAACCUCCACAUUGAACUAGGCCUACUGCCUUAAGCAACGAAUUACAAUCCAAUGCACAAAAAAAUUUACAUUCAUUGACCCAAUUUUUUUGAUCAACGAACCAAGUUACCCUAGGGAUAACAGCGCAAUCCUCUUCAAGAGCCCAUAUCGCCAAGAGGGUUUACGACCUCGAUGUUGGAUCAGGGUAUCCCAGUGGCGCAGCCGCUACUAAUGGUUCGUUUGUUCAACGAUUAAAACCCUACGUGAUCU